rnacentral:rRNA from 1 species
UGCAGUCGGACGGGAUUGAGGAGCUUGCUUCUCAUGAGAGUGGCGCACGGGUGCGCAACACGUAUGUAACCUACCUUGUUCAGGGGGAUAGCCUCUCGAAAGAGAGAUUAACACCGCAUAAAAUCAAUUUAUGGCAUCAUAGAAUGAUCAAAUAUUUAUAGGAACAAGAUGGGCAUGCGGAACAUUAGCUAGUUGGUAAGGUAACGGCUUACCAAGGCUACGAUGUUUAGGGGAUCUGAGAGGAUGACCCCCCACACUGGUACUGAGACACGGACCAGACUCCUACGGGAGGCAGCAGUAAGGAAUAUUGGUCAAUGGACGCAAGUCUGAACCAGCCAUGCCGCGUGCAGGAAGACGGCCCUACGGGUUGUAAACUGCUUUUGUACCGGAAUAAACCUUUUCACGUGUGAGAAGCUGAAUGUACGGUAAGAAUAAGGAUCGGCUAACUCCGUGCCAGCAGCCGCGGUAAUACGGAGGAUCCAAGCGUUAUCCGGAUUUAUUGGGUUUAAAGGGUGCGUAGGUGGCCUAUUAAGUCAGGGGUGAAAGACGGUAGCUUAACUAUCGCAGUGCCUUUGAUACUGAUGGGCUUGAAUACACUUGAGGUAGGCGGAAUGUGACAAGUAGCGGUGAAAUGCAUAGAUAUGUCACAGAACACCAAUUGCGAAGGCAGCUUACUAAAGUGUUAUUGACACUGAGGCACGAAAGCGUGGGGAUCAAGCAGGAUUAGAUACCCUGGUAGUCCACGCCCUAAACGAUGAAUACUCGAUGUUGGCGAUAUA